rnacentral:rRNA from 1 species
GACGAACGCUGGCGGCGCGCCUAACACAUGCAAGUCGAACGGAGCUGAGAGAAGCUUGCUUUUCUUAGCUUAGUGGCGAACGGGUGAGUAACGCGUGAGUAACCUGCCCUGGAGUGGGGGACAACAGUUGGAAACGACUGCUAAUACCGCAUAAGCCCACGAUCCGGCAUCGGAUUGUGGGAAAAGGAUUUAUUCGCUUCAGGAUGGACUCGCGUCCAAUUAGCUAGUUGGUGAGGUAACGGCCCACCAAGGCGACGAUUGGUAGCCGGACUGAGAGGUUGAACGGCCACAUUGGGACUGAGACACGGCCCAGACUCCUACGGGAGGCAGCAGUGGGGGAUAUUGCACAAUGGGGGAAACCCUGAUGCAGCGACGCCGCGUGGAGGAAGAAGGUUUUCGGAUUGUAAACUCCUGUCGUUAGGGACGAUAAUGACGGUACCUAACAAGAAAGCACCGGCUAACUACGUG